CACGUAGGGGGCAAGCGUUGUCCGGAAUUAUUGGGCGUAAAGAGCUCGUAGGCGGCUCGGUAAGUCAGGUGCCAAAUCCUCAGGCUCAACCUGGGGCUCCACCUGAUACUGCUGUGGCUAGAGUCCGGUAGGGGAGCGUGGAAUUCCUGGUGUAGCGGUGAAAUGCGCAGAUAUCAGGAGGAACACCAGCGGCGAAGGCGGCGCUCUGGGCCGGAACUGACGCUGAGGAGCGAAAGCGUGGGUAGCAAACAGG
rnacentral:rRNA from 1 species